GGGAUUUAAAUAAGUUUAAAAUUUUUGUUACAAUUUAAAUAGCUGUCAAUUUAUUUAUUUAAGUUGCAGUAUAGAAACAAUAUUAGAUCAAGGUCAGAAAAAUAUCAACUUUUUUGUACAAGGCUGAGAAACUGGGGAAGGGCAAGGUUCUCAUUGACUUAAUAUUGUACAUUAAUAUUCAGAAGGUAGAAAUGUGACCAAGUUUCCAUGGAUAAGUGGCUGCUUGAAAAAUAAGUUUUUUUGCAAAUGCUAAUUUUGAGUGCAUGGAUCAGUGAUCAAUGUUAAAGUUACAUGCAUAUUAUCAAGUCUGUAUCCAAGAUACUUUAAGCAUAAGUUGAACUAUAUUCAGUGUAUUGAAUGAUUGGAAGUUGUCCAUGUCUGUCUGCAAAGGUUCAUAUGACUUUGACCUCAUUUCAAUGGGCG
rnacentral:lncRNA from 1 species